rnacentral:rRNA from 1 species
ACGAACGCUGGCGGCGUGCCUAAUACAUGCAAGUAGAACGCACAGUUUAUACCGUAGCUUGCUACACCAUAGACUGUGAGUUGCGAACGGGUGAGUAACGCGUAGGUAACCUGCCUGGUAGCGGGGGAUAACUAUUGGAAACGAUAGCUAAUACCGCAUAAUAUUGAUUAUUGCAUGAUAAUUGAUUGAAAGAUGCUAUUGCAUCACUACCAGAUGGACCUGCGUUGUAUUAGCUAGUAGGUGAGGUAACGGCUCACCUAGGCGACGAUACAUAGCCGACCUGAGAGGGUGAUCGGCCACACUGGGACUGAGACACGGCCCAGACUCCUACGGGAGGCAGCAGUAGGGAAUCUUCGGCAAUGGACGAAAGUCUGACCGAGCAACGCCGCGUGAGUGAAGAAGGUUUUCGGAUCGUAAAGCUCUGUUGUAAGAGAAGAGCGGGUGUGAGAGUGGAAAGUUCACACUGUGACGGUAUCUUACCAGAAAGGGACGGCUAACUACGUG